rnacentral:sRNA from 1 species
GAUGCCUCCCUCAUAACAAGACUUUCAGACAAAGCUUCUUUGUGUUGCUUGUGAAGAAAAGCAACACAAACAAAACAACAAUAACAGUAAAAGCAACACCAAAGAGCAUAAGUAAAUCGAUGUUUGGUUUAUGCAUGUGUGUUGGCGAAACAAACAAAAAACAUAUCACCGGGACCAACAUUGAAGUGUCGGCCAGAGUUGUACACUAAAGCAGCAAUUUAAUACCAAAGGAUUCGUACGUUCAUCCUGUGGCACUGGAUCCCUUCAAAGCAUAAUUCUAUUCGUGCUGGCGUUGUUGCUGUUGUUCAUGAUGGCUGUAGUUGCAUUAUUAUUGUUAUACUGAUAUGAAAAAUUAUGGUCUGUGGUUACUGAAUGCACUACUCUUACGAUUCGUUUUUUAUUUUGGCAUCACUUUGUUGUAUUCCAACUCCCAUCCAACUUGGCAUAACAAUAAGAAAAAACUACCACAAUAGUAAAACA